AUCACUAUAGCUCAUCUGGUAGAGCACCUGACAUAGAAUCAGCUGGUAAUUGGUUCGAAUCCAAUUAGUG
rnacentral:tRNA from 1 species